rnacentral:rRNA from 1 species
UACGUAGGGGGCAAGCGUUAUCCGGAUUUACUGGGUGUAAAGGGAGCGUAGACGGCACGGCAAGCCAGAUGUGAAAGCCCGGGGCUCAACCCCGGGACUGCAUUUGGAACUGCUGAGCUAGAGUGUUGGAGAGGCAAGUGGAAUUCCUAGUGUAGCGGUGAAAUGCGUAGAUAUUAGGAGGAACACCAGUGGCGAAGGCGGCUUGCUGGACGAUGACUGACGUUGAGGCUCGAAAGCGUGGGGAGCAAACAGG